UACGGGGGGGGCAAGCGUUGUUCGGAAUUACUGGGCGUAAAGGGCUUGUAGGUGGCCAACUAAGUCAGACGUGAAAUCCCUCGGCUUAACCGGGGAACUGCGUCUGAGACUGGAUGGCUUGAGUGUGGGAGAGGGAUGCGGAAUUCCAGGUGUAGCGGUGAAAUGCGUAGAUAUCUGGAGGAAUACCGGUGGCGAAGGCGGCAUCCUGGACCGGCAUUGACGCUGAGGAGCGAAAGCCAGGGGAGCAAACGGG
rnacentral:rRNA from 1 species